rnacentral:tRNA from 1 species
GGCUCGUUGGUCUAGGGGUAUGAUUCUCGCUUAGGGUGCGAGAGGUCCUGGUUCAAAUCCCGGACGAGCCC